rnacentral:lncRNA from 1 species
UGUGUGUGCCUCAUCUGUUAUGUGAUAUAUGUGUUGAUUAAAGCAUGCUAUACAGGUUUUCUUUAAACUAUGUAUACAAAUGUAUAUUUUUAUCUACUAAUAUGUUGGGUAGAACAUGGGUAGACAGUUGGUGUGUAAUAAACAGAUGAGAGGCCUCGUUGUUGUUUGAUUGAGUCAUCUAGCGGAGUUUAGAUGACGACCACUGGCUAUUCUAGACAGUCUUGUGGAAACAUUAGCAGGUUCGCCACCUGUAGGUGUUAAUGAACUUGGGUGUUCAUUCGCUGUACUCCAUCCCCCUCAUGGUUGCCUUAUUUGACUUAUAUUGCUGAGGAACCCCCGAAGCAUGUGUUGUCGCCCCGAUGAAAUAUUCUUAGACUAGGUCCCUUAUGUUAGUUGUUUUAGGGACAUAAAGUGAGAAUAACGGGAAUGGGUAAUUGGGUUAUUGUUGGUUGGUGGAAAUUAAAUAUAAUUAUUUAUUGUGGGUUGAAAACCCUAUAUGCUCACCAGGCUCCCAAGCCUGACCCACUCAGUUUUAUUUGUAUUACAGGAAGUGGCGCGAGGGCAUAAGAUGGAUGAACCAUCAAGUUGUUUUGUUUACAAGUCUGUAUAUGUAUAUAUUUGUUGAAUGACUUGUAAUGUUAUCGUUUAUGCUUAUUGGUCUGUAUCGGAACAUGACACCCCGAGUUUUGAUUAUAUAAUGAAAAUACAUUUCUUUUAUGAAAUGCUUUGGUAAACAUUGUUUUAUCAUGUUUUGUUUUUGGGAACAAAUUUCGCAACUCUUUCAAAUCAAAAGGAUUUACUCUGAAAUUAUUUUAAAAACAUAAAUGAAAAUCGGUCUUUUCUGGCCGAGAUUUUGAGGAUGUCACAGUUGUGAUGCUUUACAUGACGUCCUCCGCCCCAGAACGUUUCCGUCGUUCUUGGUUUUGGGGUGUGACAGUUAUGGAUGGAUUCAAGCAUGAAUCAAGAAGAAGUGAUGUAUAACACAUAGAUGUAGUGAUUUACUUACAUUUUUGGAAGAUUGGAAGCAAAAGUGUCAAGAUCCUUGAGAGAAAAUUCUGAAUUCUUGGGCUUGGAAGGUGAAAAGUGAUUAAAACUCACUAAGGAUCAUAUAUAUACCCUGGAGUUUACGGCCACCUUGAGUUUACGGCCGUAAACUCAAUGGUCUUGGUCGUAAACUCCUAUUUCGAGGGCUUAAGGCUUUUUUGGUAAUUUACAAAUCCAAUAGACACUUCCUUUCACUCAUUCCUUUGGUUUAUUAAGCUCAGAAUGCUCAUACAGACUCAACACAAUGCUAAAAGUUAGCAGAAGCAAGUUUGACUUUUAUUGAAAUGUAGGGUUUGUACAAAUAGAAAUUUUGGGUUGUCACAAAAUUGAUUUUUGUAUAUUUGUUUAAUGUUUUUAAAUGGAAGUGGAAAUUCUUAAAUAAUUCGAAUGGCUUAUGGUGCAUGGUCUUUCUAACAUCCGAAUUUUCAAACCAAUUUUUUUCAUUUUUAAAUCCAUAGAAAACAGUUUUCAUAAAAACCAUCCCAAGAAAAGUCAUGAUGUCAAAUACAAUUUCACAUCAAAAUAUCAGAGUGUCCCAAAAUAUCCAAUAACAAAAUCUCUCAUUUAAUGUGUACAUCAAGCCUUCAUCUUCCCGCGAUCCUCAAAAGUACCUUAAACACAUUUAAUCAACAACUGCAAGCACAAAGCAUAGUGAGUUCCCCAAAAUAUCACAUACAACACAACACAUAAAGCAGUUAUGGGUUAUCAGCAACCCUGGAGACUACUCGAAGUCUCAGUGGGCAAACAACACGCCAUGUGGUUUAUCAGCAACCCUGGAUACUACUCAAAGUCUUGGCACACAUAAGGUAACACAUAUCAAAGUAAUAACACAUAGACCCAGUUGGUCAUCACAUAAAUAAAUCUAUACUAACACACAUGUACGAAUAAGUGAAAAGACUCACCUUGUACAACUAACUAAUAGAAACUCACGCCCAAACUUCCGGAACUAGACUCCGCCAAUCAACUAUACCAAUUAACCCUAAUGAAUAAUUAAGGUAACUUUCAUACUUCACUAAUCCCAAGCCAAGUCUAAUACAUAGUUUGGGCAAAAAACCACUUUCCCCUCACAAUAUCCAAACCCUCACAACUUGUCAAAAGGGCAUACUUUGUCAAAAGUCAAUGAAAGUCAACGGCGGCCGUACAUACGAGGUACACUUCUCUACGUUGGGCGUAGAGCAUUGGGCAGGCGGAGACGGGUUUGCAACUGGUUACGUUGAGCAUAGCCAGAAGUACGCUCGACGUACACGGCAUAUUUCAACAUUACANUAUAUAUAUAUAUACAACUAUUCUACCACACAUGUAAGAAUAAGUGAGGAGAAUCACCUGGUACUGAUGAUUGAUACUACUCACACCCGAACUGCCAUAACUAUACCUCGCCUAAUUAAAUACACCAACUAACCCUAAUUAAUAAUUAAGGUAUUCACACACACACACACACACACCACUGAACUCAUACAAGUCUAGUCCACACCUAGAGUAGAAGACUGCUUUGCCCCUACAAAACCCCUCACAAUCCAUCUAAGACACAAAUGUUCCAAGUUAACAAAAGUGAACAAAAGUUAAUAGUCUCCCAUAACCAGUAUGUUGGGCGUAAUCACUCUACGUGAGACGUAGAACGCAAGGCAAGAGGGAUGGGCUCGAAUCUGGCUAUGUUGGGCAUAGCCAGGUGUACGCUCAGCGUACAUAAGCUAAUAUCAACACUUCUGAUGCAAACGUCUUAAUCAUUAAUACAUCCAUUCCAAACACAAAUCUAGCCCCUAAAGAACUUCUUAAGCUAUAAAGUUUUUGAAUUUAAGCCUUUGCAUGGAUACAAGGAGAUAAAGCCCAAAAACCCUAACUUCUUACCUCAUUAAAACCCCGUAUCUCUUGCAUGGAGGAAAAUGAAUGACCAAGAUAACAUUUUUAUGACUUUAUACAUCUUAGAAUCGCUGGAAGGAUGAAUUAAUAGCUCUGGAUUACUCCAUACUCGUAAAGAUCAAAGCUUUGGGACAUAAAGAACCAAAAUGCAAGGCUAAGAAAUAUCUAACUAAAUGAGCUCCAAGAUUUGAACUUUAUACCUUGAAAAUGUGCACAAAGAGAUGAAGUUGUUGAAUCUACAAGCUAUAAUGCACCACCACCACUUGAAUGAUCAUCCUUCUUACACCAAAACACUAAACAAUCACUUUCCAAGCUUCAAAACACUCUCACAAGGUUAGGGUUCCGAUAUAGUGUUUAGAGGCAAUAAAGGCUAGAUAAGAUGAUGUCAAAGGGAGGGAUAAGAUGAUUAAAUAUGGGUCACACCCUAAAAUUUACGAUUUAGCAUCUGCAUGAGUACACCCGUUGUACUCACACGUACAACUAAUGUACCCCCUCUUCCGCCUUGACUACCUCGAAGACCUACGUUCGACGUACAUGGCUAGUACGCCCAACUUAAGUGGCCAAAAUGCAAAUUACAUUAACUUCAAGGGCUGAAAAUAAAAUACCUGACAACGGGUAUUACAAAUCUCCCCCACUAGAAUCAAACUUCGCCCUCGAAGUCAAGCAUCUCCGCCUCGGGCUCCCAAGUCCACUCUGAGCCCUUCCGAUGUUGCCAAUGAACCCUGACCAGGUUCACUACCUUAUUCCUAAAUGUCUUCACCUUCCUAUCCAUAAUUGCAAUCGGGCUCUCAAUAUAGUUCAGGCUAUCAUCGAUCUGAAUGUCCUCCAAAGGAACCAAAAUUGUCUCAUCAGCUAUACACUUCCUCAACUGGAAAACAUGGAAGGUAUCAUGGUUAUGACUUAACUACUCAUGGAGCUCCAGCCGGUAAUCCAGCUUGCCCACACGGACUAACACUCUUAAAGGGCCAAUAAACUUGGUCCCCAACUUGACCCGCUUCCUAAAUUGAAUAACGCCCUUCCAUGUUGAUACUUUCAGAAAAACCAAAUCACCAACCCAAAAUUCCAACUCAGAGCGUCGCCGGUCCGCAUAACUCUUCUGAUGACUUUGAGUCGUUAGUAAUCUCUGUCUGACUUGCUGAAUAAGCUCAGUCGUCUUCAACACUAUCUCAGUGUUCCACAUGACUCUCUAUCUGACUUCUCCCUAACAAAUAGAAGUCUGACACUUCCUCCCAUACAAAAGAUCAAAGGGAGGCAUGCCAAUGUUGGCAUGAUGGUUGUUUUUGUAAGAAAACUCAGUCAAAGGGAGGUAAGAGUCCCAACUCCCACCAAAAUCAAUGAUGCACGAAUGAAACAUAUCUUCAAUCGUCUGAAUAGUCCGCUUACUCUGCCCAUCAGUUUGCGGAUGGUACGCGGUACUGAAAUGCAAUCGGGUGCCCAAUUCUUCGUGAAACCUCUUCCAAAACCUGGAAGUAAAUCGAAGAUACAUAUCCGACACAGUAGAAUUCGGCACCCCAUGUCGAGCCACCACUUAUCAAACAUAAAUCUCAUCUAACUUAUCGGAAAAAAAGAGCCCCUCACUUAUGUCUAAGAAGUGAGCGCUCUUCGUCAAGCGGUCAACUAUCACCCAGAUAACAUCAACUCCUUUUGCAGUAUUUGACAAUUUUGUGAUGAAAUCCAUUUUGAUUUGUUCUUACUUCCAUAAUGGAACCCCUAAAGGCUGCAAAUUGUCAUGAGGACGUUGGUGCUUAGCCUUCACCUUCCAACCGAUCAAGCAUCGCUCUACAAACCAGGCCACAUCCAUCUUCAUACACGACCGCCAAUAAUUAUGCUUCAAGUGAAGAUACAUCUUGGUAGCCCCCCCCCCCAAAUGAAUGGAGAAUAUCAACUUGUGGGACUCCCCCAUCAACACCCAUCAAACCCUACCUGCAUGCGGUACCCAAACUCGUCCAUGAAGAGUCAAAAGCCCUAUGUUGUCGAUAUCAAAGGUUGAAACCUGACCGAUCACUCGCUCACUCUUCCGAUUCUAUUUUUUAUGGCCUCUGACUGCGCUUCUUUGAUCAUUUCCAAAACUAUGGUCAUCACAGUCAUCCUUAAACACACAUCGUAAAUCGGGGUACUGACCGCCCUCCGAACCAAGGCGUCGGCUACCAGAUUGGCCUUGAAUGGGUGAUAUGUGAUCUCAUAGUCAUAAUAUUUCACUACAUCCAACCACCUCCUCUGCCUCAUGUUCAUGUUAGGCUAGUCCAUAAGAUAUCUCAGGCUCUUAUGGUUCGUAUAGAUAGUACACUGAACUCCAUAAAAGGUAAUGAUGCCAAAUCUUGAGAUCAAAAAUCGCCGCCCCCAAUUCCAAAUUAUGGGUGGGAUACUCCGCAUAAUGAGGCUUCAUUUGCCUCGAAGACUAUGCAAUCACAUGCCCAUUUGCAUCAACACAACACCCAACCCUAAAAUGGAGGCAUCACCACAAAAUCCCCAACUCCCUCCGAGAGGGCAAGUACCGAUGCCUUACAAGUACCAGGGCCCGAUGCCGGACUUCUUCUGGUGCCAGGGGAGGGGGUGAAGCGGGCAAGGCCUUCGAUUUUUCUAUUAUGUGAUUAUGUGCAUGGUAUGUGGUAGUUUGGGGAGACUCACUAAACUUUGUGUUUACAGUUUUCAGUUUUGGUUACAGGUACUUCCGGUAGCAAGGGGAAGAGUUCAGGAUGACUACGAUGCACAUACCAUUUGUUUAGUCUGGGAUGUUUUACUAUGAUAUAUUGACAUGUGUGUUUAAUAUGAUACUCUGAUUUGAUAUGAUGACUUAUGUUUUUGGAUAAAAUGUUUUGAUAACUAUGGUUUAUUUAAUAAUUAAAAAUAAAAUUUUUGGUCAUGAUUUUUUGGAUGUUACCAGUUGGUAUCAGAGCCUUGGUUUGAGGGAUUCGAAUACACUCUCGGGUGUGUCUGAACUCAAACUGAGGACUUGGUAUAAUUUUUUUUAUAAAGAAAACCAUUUUAUAAAAAAGAUCUAGAAAAGAGAAAAGGGUGUGGUACAUGCAAUCAGCUGAGCUUAAGUGAGUUCUCCCAAAUUACCCAUACAAGUUAUGUUAUGAUAUGAAUUGUGAAUAUAUGAAUUGCAUCCUAGAUUAGGGCUAAGGAUCUAGGAAGGAUGCCUUAUAUGCCUGCUAUAUGAGCUUUAUGAACUGCAUGCUAGUACUGAGCAAUCAGUGAUAUGAUGGCCUGAUUAGGAUAUGCUUGGUUAUGUUUACUUAAUGCUUGAAUGUUGCUUGCUUUGUACUUUUAGAAGUUUUAGUUAUCUUUGACUAACUAUUAAACAAAUAUGUUAAGUUACAUAUUACAAUGGCUAAAUAAUUUCAGAAGGUUAGGUUUAGCUCUAUUUCACAGCUCUUGUUUGAGUCUAACCGUUGUAAGGUAGGACCUCUCAUUCGAAGAAUUAUCUGGUCUUAAUGAUAUGUAAUGGUAUUCGCGAGUUAGUUAGGGGAGAUAGCAGAGACUACUUAUGCAACUGAUGGCAGAGAGUGGGUCGGAGAUUACCCUAGGGCAAGCCUAGGAUGAGAUUAGCGUAGAGAGCAGUAGUAGCGAAAUGUACUUGGUGGAGUCAAGGCAGUUCUUGAUGAAAGUACGGAUAGAUGUGGAAGGUAGUAUGGGCCCGUACUACUGAAAGCAGAGGAUCCAUACUCGAAUCAAGGAAGGCUAAGAUGAACCCAUGGAACAUGUAGUGUGUGUGAUCCCUCGAGUUAUGACGAGUGUACUGGUGUUUGUUAUGGUGUAUUUUCAGUAUGGUGACACUACGUACGAGACCAGUUGGCAGCUCUGGCACCGGCGAGGGAUCAGGCUCGGGAUCUGGAGUCGGGCAUCCCGAUGAUCAGAUGAGUGAGUUCAUCUCAUCAUUACUUAUCUACAUCAUUACCUAAUAUACAAAAGAUUAUAUAAAAUAACUACUAUAUGUACUGAAGCCGAUAAGCUUUAUAUGUUGGCUCUAGUUGUAGGGUACACGUUGAUGCUAGAGAAUGUGUAGAGUGUUUGACUCAUCAUAUCAUAAGGUGUGACCUUAUAAUCUCCCACUAUCUGAUGAUGUCAAAGCUAAUCUUCAAUGAAUUCUUCAGUUCGUGCUCCCUCUAAGACUAAGAAUGAAGUUUUAAUGUUUCAACUUUAACUAAUGCUCCCCCCUGAGAAUAUGAAUGACUUAUUAAGUAAUCGAGGCAUCAUUUAUGAAUCACAACGGACGAAGGAUGAAUAUGUAAAGGUGACGAGUUGGCAACUCUGGCACCGAUGAGGGAUCAGGCUCGGGCUUUGGAGCCGGCCAGCUCGAUGAUCAUAUGAGGGAGUUCAUUUCAUCAUUACUUAUCUACAUCAUUACCUAACAUACAAAAGAUUAUAUAGAAUAACCACUCUAUGCACUAGCUUUAUACGUUGGCGAUGGUUGUAGAGUACACGUUGAUGCUAGCGAAUGUGUAGAGUGUUUGACUCAUCAUAUCAUAAGGUAUGACCUUAUAAUCUCCCCCUAUAUGACGAUGUCAAAGCUAAUCUUCAAUGAAUUAUUCAGUUUGUGCUCCCCCUAAGACUAAGAAUGAAGUUUUAAUGUUUCAACUUUAACUAAUGCUCCCCCUGAGAAUAUGAAUGACUUGUCAAGUAAUUGAGACAUCAUUUAUGAAUCGCAACGGAUGGAGGAUGAAUAUGUGAAGGUGACGAGUUGGGCUGAAAGUGUGGAUCAGCUUGACCCAACUAGCUGAGAAUAUUGAUAUUAGCUUGACUCGACUCCCCCUUAGAUUGUGCUUUUAUGUAUAGAUUUUCUCCCCCUUUUUGACAUUAGCAGUAAACACAUGAAUAAAGUUGUUGUAGCUUGUAGUUUAGUAAGAUUAUGACGUCUCUUGAUAGUAUUGGCUUAAACUAUCAUUCACUAACAAUGUAUUGCGAGAUUCAUCAGCAUGUGGUUUCAUACGCUGACUCAUUAGUCACUUUUAUUAAAAGAAAAAGAGCAAUGAUUUUAUGUUGUGUGUAACACAUUCCGAUAUGAAAUGUACAAAUCGACAAAGAGUGUCGAAGUUUUAUCAGUGUAUGGAUGAAUUAUUGGGAAAGAGUAGGUAGGCGCGUGUAAUAUAUCACGCACAAUGAUAUACCCAUCGGCACAAAUUUUCGAAUUCUCAUCAGUGUCUAGUAUCAUACGCUGAAUCAUAAAAUUCUAAAUAAGAAUUUAUGGAAAGAAUAGUUUGAUGCGUGUGAUAAGCUGUGGUGUUUUAGCUUAACCAUCGACAUAGAUUUUUCAAGCUCUCAUCAGCGUGUGUACAUUACAUUGAACCAUAAAACUUCAAAGAAGAAUAUCAAGGCAAUAAUGGGUUGGUGCGUGUGAUAGCCUACAAUACAUAGACUAACCAUCGACACAUUGUUUCAAACUUUUAUUAGUGUGUGGUAUAUCACAGUGAAUCGUCGAGUUUUAUUAAAAAAAUUAAGGAAAUAAUAGAUUGUUUAAGUCACAAUGAUGUGGAAUCAACGUGAAUCAUAAACGGUGUUAACUCAUCAAAAAAAAGUGGUUCAAACUUCCGUAUCAUAUAGUUAAGUUGCAGUUUAGAACUAUAAAGUUCACCAUCAAUUCUUUAGAAUGGUAUAAAAAUAAUAAUAAAUAAUAUAAGAAUACAACAAAAAAAGUUAGUCAAAUAAGGAAAGGAAUAUACAACCUUGUUCAGAGGCUCUCUAUAUAGCCUUUUUCAGAAGAUGUUUUGUGAAAAAUAAAUCUUUUGAAGUAAUUACUCAUUUAUUAAAUUUCUUUGUUCGAGAUAUCUACCCUUCAAGAUUGGCUAUUAAUCACUGAAAUAUUCCAGAUGAACUUCAACCUUCAUAUUUAUCAAAGAACAAAAGAGAAGUAGAGAUCAGUCUUUGUAACCAACAAGUUAACUGACUCAAAUCCAUGAAACCAUUGUGUCCUCAAGAUUAACAUGAGGGCAUUUGAGGUUUUAUCAGAUCAAGAGUCAGUAGAUGAAAACAAGACCUACUACAUUGAUGGUUGCUCUUUGCAUCCAUAACAAUUAGUGGAGGAGAAAGAGUGUAUCCUCAAGAGGAAGAGGAUUUUCUCCUAACUAUCCCUAUUGAUGGCCCAGACCAGCAUAUGUCUAAUGUGGAGUACCAAACUAUCCUUCGUUACCGCCUCAUGAUUCCUCUAUUCUCGAUUGACGAGAUAUGCCUAGUUUGCUGCAAGGCAUUUUGGAUACAUGUAGGGAACAUGCAGUUCUUUGUACCUACAUGAUGUGGUUAGGGAUGUUCUCUUUGAUGUUUGUCGGCUGCUGAUAUUUUCGUGAAGAAAGAAAUGUUAGUGAACUUUUUGACGGACCCACUGGAUGGAAGAUCCACACUCAGGCCGACUGACAUUUUGGUCUUUAGAUAUGUAGGAGGGAAGCACGCUUGUGUGGAUCUUAUUGGGGUCUCCCCUUUCGUCGGUUUGAGAUGCGGGGGUUUCACAGUAGAGCAUGUCGCUUUGAAAGCUGCUGCAUGCAAAGUGGCAAAGCACGAGAAUGCAUGCAUAGAAAAUCACAUGUGCUUAUACCUUUUGCAUUUGAUACUUUUGGUUUUAUCGAACCAAAGACGAUGAAACUCCUCAACAAAGUUUAACAGAUCAUGCAUUAUAAUGUUAUAUCUUCAACAUCCACGUAUGUUGUUUUCAAAAGAAUUAGUUUUGUCAUUCAGAAAAAUUUAAUAACACAACUUAUUGUCCAUUUGCUUUCCGUCUAUAUGCAAUGAUUUUUUUUUUUUUUUAUCAUCAAUUUAAAUUGGAAUUUGAUUUAUUCAAAUGUAUUAUUUUCAAAACAAAUCAAAUGGUUAACAUUGAUUUACUCAAGUAAGCCGAUACAAGCCCAUUGGGUCAAAAGAACGGGGUUCAUCCAUUGAUUCCAUUCUAUGAUUAUAUCCUAACACCAUCUGACGGCUCACAAAGCAUCACCAUCAUCACAAAGACCUCCAUCCUUCUCUUAUAAUAAGCCUCUUCACCUCGCCACAUCAACAAGUAACCCUAGCUAAACAUACAACCAUCAUCAAGUCACACCCCCUUCAACCCUCUCAAAUCUAGGGUUUUUUUUUUGUCUAAAUUUCAAAUGUCAAGACAUCAUAGAUUUGUAGCUCUCGUAGCCGACGAUUUACAAAAAUUUGGGGCGAAAUAGUUGAUGUUCGUAAAACUCAAUGGUAAAUCGUCGCAAAUCGAGCCGUCUCUGUGAUCACAGCGGUUGAGCCGCCCUUCGCCGGGCGGUUCCCGUUAACCGGAGAAGGCGUUGUCACAUCCUAUCGCCUUGGGGAGCGGAGUCUCUGCAAUUACCUCUUGGGAUUGGCCGUGAGAAAGACAUUCACUAAUCGUUUGAAUUCCAUACUUGAAAUCGGCCUGUGAUGAAAUCUAUUUAAAAGAACACCAUCUUUCGGGACUGAAUGGUCUUUCUCGAGAUCUUGAUGUCAAUUCUGCAAUUCUGAGGCCAUUUUUCUGUGAUUUUUUUUUAAUUUAAAAUGUUGUAACAAAUGCGUACUGUAUUUGAAUUCGAAUGUGGAUUCAAGUACCAAUAAUCAUCAUUCAUCAAAUUCCUUUUGCUAUCAGAAUGAAGAAUUUUUUCAAACAAUAUGAACACUUUCCUGAAUUUCUGUCUUUCAUAAAAUGCAUCGAUGAAACUCUGAAUUCUCAAUUGAUAGCUUGUUUGUUACCGAUUAUUUACAAAAUGUUUGGGGCAAGUUAGUUUAUAUUAGAAUAGUAUGUCCUUUUGGGCUAUUAAAUGAUCCCAUGUUAAUAUUUUAGAGCACAAUGCACAAAAUCAAAUUUAUGCAUGAACAAAUCCGGUGUCGUUUUCCUCAAGCUUUCGUGAUUUCACCAUCAUAUUACAUGUAUAUCAAAGUGAAUGUUUCCAUAUCCAUUUUUGAUUAAAUGUUUAUUGCAUAAUAGCAUUGAAAAUGUAGACACUGUGUAGAAAAUGGACUUUUAGGUUAAAAAGCAUUCCCAAACGCCACUAAAAGCAAAUACUUUAUUUAAAACAAAGCCUAAAACAUAUUCAUGCUUUAAACAAAUACUUUUACUUUAAUGAAUCAGAAAUAUUAUGAAUUUAAGUAGGCAUGUUUACUUGUAUAUAUAACUAUUAACAUUUUAAUAAUAUUUUUAUUUGUUCACUUUGGGUUUAGCGGCCUUGAAGGUUGUAUCUUUGAAUAUAGUUGUAUUAUCUUUUUUAGAAUUUUGUAGCUUUGUUUGUGGUUAAUGGUGCCAUUAGAAAUUUGAAGUAUACUACCUAAACAACAUUAGGAGUUGGAUCAUUUUUUGUUAGAAUGUCUAAUAACCGUAGAUCACAAACAUCUCUUACCAUCUUUUUUGCCAUAAAAAAGGUUGUUUGUGAUUUGGAGUGGUUAGACAUGAAAGACGAUCAAUUCCAUGUUUGCUUGAUUUGAAGUCUAUAUAUAAUUUCUAAGACCAUCCAUAUGAAAUCAAUGAAUGAGUUUAAUGAGUUGAAAUGUCUAGUUAUAAUUUCUAAGACCAUCUUAUUGUGAUGUAAUUUUAUCGUAAUGAGAUUUUAUCUCGAUAGAUUUGGAGGUUAAUGGUCAUUGAGUUAUUUAAUGAAAAAAGGAAAAGUUUUUUAAUUUUAAAUAUUUAUUAUAAAUCAAUUUUUGUAUCUUUUUAUUGAAAUUUGUAGAGUUUAAUGCAUAAUAGGAUAAGAUGAUAGAGUUAUAUGGAGUGUAAAAAAAUUAUGUGAUAUUCCAUUAAGUUUUAUGGACUUCAAUGCAUUGUGGAUACCAUAAGACUUCAAAGCAAGUGUGAAAGUCUAUGUGGCAUCCCAAGGGAAGCUUCAAAUCAAGUGUGGAUAACUUGAUGCUUCAAAUCAAGUGUGAAAGUCUAUGUGGCAUCCCAAGGGACGUUGGAACCCCCAAGGGUCUAGUUUGGCAUCUCCAUGAGGACGAAUGAAAACACCUUAUAAGAAAUUAGCGGCAACAUCGAUCAUUCUUUUUUUUUUCUUUUUUCUUUCUACCUCUUCACCACCAAUCUACCGGCGAACAUCAUUUCUACUACCUAGUCGAUUAGUUGUGGAAUGGUAAAAAAUCUAUGUGACCGUAGGGUUGUGCCAUUUGCGACUUCGGCAUUUGAAUUGUGAAGAUACAAACAAGUAAAGUAGGGUUGUGCAUUGUGGGUUGUAUGUUCGCAGAUGGAAUUCAAUUUGUUACUAUUUUUUUGUACACAUAAAGAUAGUUCUUGUAGCCGACGAUUUACAAAAUAUUGGGGCGAAAUAGUUGAUAUUCGUAAAACUCAAUGGUAAAUCGUUGCAAAUCUAGCCGUCUUUGUGAUCACAGCGGUUGAGCCGCCCUUUGCCGGGCAGUCCCCGUUAACCGGAGAAGGCGUUGUCACAUCCUAUCGCCUUGGGGAGCGGAGUCUCUGCAAUUACCUCUUGGGAUUGGCCGUGAGAAAGACAUUCACCAAUCGUUUAAAUUCCAUACUUGAAAUCGGCCUGUGAUGAAAUCUAUUUAAAAGAACACCAUCUUUCGGGACUGAAUGGUCUUUCUCGAGAUCUUGAUGUCAAUUCUGCAAUUCUGAG